GUGGUUCUCAAUCUCCCUAAUGCUGUGGGGCCUCUUUAAUACAGCUCCUCAUGUUGUGCUCCUGCCACCUCGCCGUCCAGCAUGUCUUGUAGCAGAGUGAAUUUGAGCCAGCAGCUGUGCUUUUCUCCAGACGACUCCGAUGGCUGAAGACCCCAGAGACUUUCAGAAGGGAGACUUCCCCAUUUGACUUUGUCUCUUUGUCAGUGAACACCUUGUCGCCAGAGCUGUGACUUUUCACUGCUGUUUUUUUUUCCUCAGAUGUCCCUUGUAAGCCCACUUCUUUAACUUAAAGGCAUAUGUGGCAUUAAAGAACCCUGCCCUGGCCAAUGUGAGUCCUACGUUCCCUUUAAACUCCUCUCUCACUGUUUUGUGUGUUUCCAACAAAGUCCCUCACCUUGAAUCUGUCACAUUCCUCAUCUCCAGAUGACCUGCAAGGGGAACAAUGACCCCAGUCCUUCCUCCCAGCUGGGGCCACAUCUGUCUUCUCUAUUACACCGCACUGUCAGAGACUGACGUGAGGUCAGGUUCAGCAGACUCACUUGUAUACCAGCUGGAAGAGGCUCACAUAAAAUCAAGCAGAGAAUCUAGACUCAUUAGGAGAAGAAGCAGAGUAACUGAGGACUCAGAAGUCAGCAGCCCCAUCUUAACCUUUACCAGGAAAAGACAAGCUGUGAAACACAACGGAUGGCAUCCAUCAGAACCGGAUUUGGUUCUUCCUGUAAAUUUGCCUACAGAUUCCUUCUGUCCCUAGGCAUUCCCUUGCAACAAUGUAGCAAAAAGUCAAACAGCCUGUGCUGCCGGUUCAAAAUAUCUAGAUCUGGUCUAUUACUAGUAAGCUUUGUGACUAAGGGCAAGCCACCCAACUUAUUACUAUCUAUAUUUUCUUAUCAAUCAGAUGUAGGUGAUGAUAACAUGUUAUUCAUAAUAAAAUAAAAGGCCUCAGCA